AGCGAACGCUGGCGGCAGGCCUAACACAUGCAAGUCGAACGAACCUUUUGGGGUUAGUGGCGGGGGGGUGAGUAUAACGUGGGAACAUGCCUUUAGGUUCGGAAUAACUCAGGGAGACAUUUGCUCAUACAGAACGUGACCUUCGGGGGAAAGAUUCUUAGCCCUUGGAGCGGCCCGCGUCUGUUUGGCUAGUUGGUUGAGGUAAUGGCCCACCAAGGCGCCGACCAGUAGCUGGUCUGAGAGGAUGAUCAGCCACCCUGGGACUGAGACACGGCCCAAACUCCUACGGGAGGCAGCAGUGGGGAAUCUUGCACAAUGGGCGAAAGCCUGACGCAGCCAUGCCGCGUGGAUGAGGAAGGUCUUAGGAUUGUAAAAUUCUUUCGCCGGGGACGAUAAUGACGGUACCCGGAGAAGAAGCCCCGGCUAACUUCGUG
rnacentral:rRNA from 1 species